AAUUACACCAGAGGAUGAUGAUGAUGUAAUCACUGCUGGAGUGAGACAUCAUGCUGCAGAUGGCUUACCAGAAGACUAUGAUGAUGUCGUCAUUAUACCACAGUUUUCCAGUGAUAAAGCAGACUAUGAUGAUGUGGAGGAGGAACCAGGAAAACAGGAAGGAACUGAAUAACUCAAACCACACCCACUGCCUCAAAUCCCUUUAAAGCUAUUAAAGUUUUAGUGGUCUUUCUAUAUAAGUUUCAGUUGCAAUCCAACAGUAUUUUGUUACGUUCUGUAUUGAAAUAUACAAUUGCAAUUUUUGACAAAAAAAAAAAUGCUUUGCUUUCAUGACCUUUUCAAAAUGUGUUUGACUUUUUUCAGGCGCUUUAAAAAAUCUUUUUUUUAUUGUGUAACCUUUGAAAUUUGAGAGAACAAAAAACUGACAUUCUGACAUUUAAUUAGUAAAAACAUAAUUGUGUUGAGUUCAGAUCAUUCACCAUUACAGUUUUUUUACGAUCUCUUUGACAUUUUUUUUCAGUACUUCUAACAAUAUUCCUAAACUCUUAACGCACCAACACACUUAACACACAAUUGAUAAAACAGUCAAUUUCAUGUUCAGAAUCACACACUGCAAGCUGAACUCCAACACUAAUUUUCAAAUCACAAUAGUACACUAACAUAAUAAACAUCUACCAAAACACUGCAAACAUGUCUCAAAAUCACAUUUUUAUUCCAAAACACUAACACGUGUUCUUUUCCAAACAGGAACAAUCAUUAGUCAAUCAUAGCAUAAUAUCAUAAAAACACUAACAUCAAAUGGAAUUACAGAAACUGCAUUAUUUUAGGUGUCAGGUCUCACCUUAAUAGACAGUAUAUUGCAUUGAUCAUAGAUUGUGUUUUACACUACAGUUUUUUUUUCUUUUUGGGUUUAGUAAAUGCAUGUAUUUUGUUUAUUGUGCUGGAGAAAUUCAAUACAAAAAUUGGUGGGGGGGGACAGAGAGAUAAGUGCUGUAGUAAAGGCUUUAUUUGCAACAGGACAUUAGAAAAGAAAAAGAAUGCAAGAAAACAAAAAUAUGCAAUAUAGCUGUCAUUUAUUAUGUGAAAAAACAAAAUAUACAGGAAAAUAAACAGGAAAAGCCACUGAAGAACUACAGUUUUUUUUCAAUUGCUAACAUCCUUUUGUCCAAUGUAGUCACAUUUUCAAAACACUAUACUUUAUUUAGCACAACAUCAGUCUGUUGUGGCCAUAUCUUUAACACAAUUC